AACGAACGCUGGCGGCAUGCCUAACACAUGCAAGUCGAACGAGACCUUCGGGUCUAGUGGCGCACGGGUGCGUAACGCGUGGGAACCUGCCCUUAGGUUCGGAAUAACUCCCCGAAAGGGGUGCUAAUACCGGAUAAUGUCUUCGGACCAAAGAUUUAUCGCCUUUGGAUGGGCCCGCGUUGGAUUAGCUAGUUGGUAGGGUAAAAGCCUACCAAGGCGACGAUCCAUAGCUGGUCUGAGAGGAUGAUCAGCCACACUGGGACUGAGACACGGCCCAGACUCCUACGGGAGGAAGCAGUGGGGAAUAUUGGAAAAUGGGCGAAAGCCUGAUCCAGCAAUGCCGCGUGAGUGAUGAAGGCCUUAGGGUUGUAAAGCUCUUUUACCCGGGAUGAUAAUGACAGUACCGGGAGAAUAAGCUCCGGCUAACUCCGUG
rnacentral:rRNA from 1 species